UGGCGGCCGUAGCGCGGUGGUCCCACCUGACCCCAUGCCGAACUCAGAAGUGAAACGCCGUAGCGCCGAUGGUAGUGUGGGGUCU
rnacentral:rRNA from 1 species